UUAUAAGAUUACAAGCCCUUUGGCCCCUGGCUUUUUAGUGACCAUAAAAAUUUAAUACUGUACAGUUUACUAAAGGCUUUUUCACUCCUUUAUAGCACCCUGAUUAUACUUCAACUGGAAGAAAAGGAACUGAUUCAAAUAGAGAGAGGAGUAUUAAGACAAUAUAAGUCAAUCUGAAAAAGAAAUAUCUUGGUAGAAGACUGUUCAAAGAACCCUUAGAAAUAAAGGCACAUUCUUUCUUCAUCUCUGGACAAGGAAUCAGUCUCACGAAGGAGACAGGCUGACAACUUCAGCUCCUUCAAUUCGAAGGCGAUCAAUCAGCAGGCACAAGGACAUCAAAAUGCACGAGUCAUGAAAUUGGCCGGGGUCUGAACUAUUUACACCAUGGAAAUCUGCAAGUGCAACAAACCAAGACUUUCUUCUUUCUAGAGAGUCGGUUGUCAAGCACUUACCAGCAUACACAAGUAUGUACAUCUCACAGGCCAAUGGAAGAUACCCAGCAUUCCUGUAGAGCAUCUCCUUUAUCGCAGGGUUUCUACUUGGCCCUCCCGAGCCUGAGGCGACUCCUGUAUGCUCAAUUGCUCCAACUUCUGCAUCCAAUGGAAGGUGCCUCCAUCCACAAGUGGAAAGAAUCGGCUUCUAGAUACUCAUAGUUUUAAUCCAGCUGAUGUCUUCCUAUCACCUCAAGGAGAAGGCUUAACGUAGAAGAAACUAAAGUAGACGGGACCUUCGUCACAGUAGCCACUGUUGGUUACCUCCCAGCACCCAGGCAAAUAAAGUUUUAUUGGAA